rnacentral:rRNA from 1 species
GAAGGCCUUCGGGUUGUAAAGCACUUUAGGUAAGGAAGAAAAGUUAUUGGUUAAUACCCAAUAACCAUGACAUUACUUACAGAAUAAGGACCGGCUAACUCCGUGCUAGCAGCCGCGGUAAUACGGAGGGUCCAAGCGUUAAUCGGAAUUACUGGGCGUAAAGCGCGCGUAGGCGGUUUGACAAGUUGGGUGUGAAAUCCCCGGGCUUAACCUGGGAACUGCAUUCAAAACUUUUAAACUGGAGUACGGGAGAGGAGAGUAGAAUUCAUGGUGUAGCGGUGAAAUGCGUAGAUAUCAUGAGGAAUACCAAUGGCGAAGGCAACUCUCUGGACCGUAACUGACGCUGAGGUGCGAAAGCGUGGGUAGCAAACAGGAUUAGAUACCCUGGUAGUCCACGCCGUAAACGAUGACAACUAGCCGUUGGAUCCUCGAGGUUCAUGGCUCCAGCUAAGCCAUUAGUACAACGGCUGGGGGAGUAUCCACUGUGGAUUCGCGGGCGCCCUGCAGUCGGACAUUUGGGAGACUCCCACGGCGUGGAAGCAUAGCUGGAUAUUUCUGUUUGUUCGGGA